CGUGUAGGUGGUCGGGUAAGUCAGAUGUGAAAGCCUUCUGCUUAACAGAAGAAGUGCAUUUGAAACUGCUCGGCUAGAGUACGGGAGAGGAGAGUGGAAUUCCCGGUGUAGAGGUGAAAUUCGUAGAUAUCGGGAGGAACACCAGUGGCGAAGGCGGCUCUCUGGUCCGAUACUGACACUGAGACGCGAAAGCGUGGGGAGCAAACAGGAUUAGAUACCCUGGUAGUCCACGCCGUAAACGAUGGGCACUAGGUGUAGGAGGUAUUGACCCCUUCUGUGCCGAAGCUAACGCAUUAAGUGCCCCGCCUGGGGAGUACGGCCGCAAGGCUAAA
rnacentral:rRNA from 1 species